UACGGAAGGCAGCAGUGGGGAAUAUUGCACAAUGGGCGAAAGCCUGAUGCAGCUAUGCCGCGUGUAUGAAGAAGGCCUUAGGGUUGUAAAGUACUUUCAUCGGGGAGGAAAAAACAAAACUAAUAAUUUUAUUUCUUGACGUUACCCGAAAAAGAAGCACUGGCUAACUCCGUGCCAGCAGCCGCGGUAAUACGGAGGGUGCUAGCGUUAAUCAGAAUUACUGGGCGUAAAGAGCACGUAGGUGGUUUUUUUAAGUCAGAUGUGAAAUCCCUGGGCUUAACCUGGAACUGCAUUUUGAAACUGAAAUACUAGAGUAUCGUAGAGGGAGGUAGAAUUCUAGGUGUAGCGGUGAAAUGCGUAGAUAUCUGGAGGAAUACCUGUGGCGAAAGCGGGCCUCCUAAACGAAUACUGACACUGAGGUGCGAAAGCGUGGGGAGCAAACAGGGAUUAGAUACC
rnacentral:rRNA from 1 species